ACUCCGGUGGAUAGAGAUGGGCACGCGCAAGAUUAGAUAGUUGGUGAGGUAACGGCUCACCAAGUCAAUGAUCUUUAGGGGGCCUGAGAGGGUGAUCCCCCACACUGGUACUGAGACACGGACCAGACUCCUACGGGAGGCAGCAGUGAGGAAUAUUGGACAAUGGGUGAGAGCCUGAUCCAGCCAUCCCGCGUGAAGGACGACUGCCCUAUGGGUUGUAAACUUCUUUUAUACUGGGAUAAACCUACCCUCGUGAGGGUAGCUGAAGGUACAGUAUGAAUAAGCACCGGCUAACUCCGUGCCAGCAGCCGCGGUAAUACGGAGGGUGCAAGCGUUAUCCGGAUUUAUUGGGUUUAAAGGGUCCGUAGGCGGACUCGUAAGUCAGUGGUGAAAUCUCAUAGCUUAACUAUGAAACUGCCAUUGAUACUGCGGGUCUUGAGUAAAGUAGAAGUGGCUGGAAUAAGUAGUGUAGCGGUGAAAUGCAUAGAUAUUACUUAGAACACCAA
rnacentral:rRNA from 1 species